rnacentral:rRNA from 1 species
GACUCUCGACAACGGAUAUCUCGGCUCUCGCAUCGAUGAAGAACGUAUUGAAAUGCGAUACUUGGUGUGAAUUGCAGAAUCCCGUGAACCAUCGAGUCUUUGAACGCAUGUUGCGCCCGAAGCCAUCCGGCCGAGGGCACGUCUGCCUGGGCGUC